CUAUGUUAAGGCCUAAACUUCUUAGAAUCAUUUAUAUUAAAUGCAAAAAUUAAUAUUAAGCAGUACAUUUCCUGCCAAGUUUUAAGGAAGUUAACCAUUGCACUGGUGGAAGCUACUGGCCAAACAUCUGAAAUCAGUGUUUGUUGAAGUGCUAAGCCAGCUUUUGACAGCACCUCAACCUCUUCUGCAAGUGCAGAGACUUUGUCAUUUCAAUUUAUUCAGCUAGUUCACUUUAGUGACUAAUUCAUUCAAAGUUCAGAAAGCAAUUGGGAGUGGUAAAAGCAGAAAAUCUUGUUUUCUUCUUCCAAUCUUGGAAUAAAAAAAAAAGUAGGAGAGAGUAGGCUUCUACUAGUUCUAAAAAAAUCUUCCAGGACAUGCUGAAGUGAACAGAUUGUGUCUGUAGUUGGUGACCAGAAACAUACUUCCCCCUUUGUUUAAAUAAAUCAGUUAAAUUUUACAUGUAGAACAAGCUGAUAAAUAUGCUGGAUAAAUUACCUUACAUAAGAAAAAAGUUUAACAAACAUUUUAAAUCCUAUUUUUGUGCAUUCUGAAUUGAGUUUGAAUUUCUAUCCAGAGAUAGACACAAAUCACAACUAACAACUUCGACAUCAUUCACCAUUUUCUAACAAUAAAAAAAAUUUUAAAAAGGAAAAUAGAGAAUCUGUAUAAAAGUAUAGUUAAGCUAUAAUUACUUAAACAUGCAUACAGUAUUUCCUUGGGUAAGCAAAAAAAAAGAAACACCAAAAUUAGUGUCAAGGCUAUAUUUCAUUUCAAAUAAUAAUUUUAAG